CCCCGGUAGCUCAGUGGUAGAGCAACCGGCUGUUAACCGGUUGGUCGCUGGUUCGAAUCCGGCCCGGGG
rnacentral:tRNA from 1 species